CACUUCUAAAUAGUGUAAUACUGUAAUUUCAACUCUUUUACUGUGGCAACUUAUGAACUCCAUUAUGUUUGACAUAUGAUUAGAAUGGCUAUGGGGCGAGCUGGAUGCAAAGUAAAAUUGGUGAUUUGGGUUCCAAUACAACAUUAAAGGAACAUCAUUUGUCAUUACUAUUUAAGUGUGAUGGAUUUGAUAAAGCAUCAUCAAGAAGAAUCAACUGGCGUACCAAUGAUGAUAUUUCAUUGAAUUAUUUUCUUGGCUUAAAAAAAGAUUGUUCUUAAAACUACUCUGUGGAAUGAAAAGAAUCAAUGUGGAAUGAAAAUAAUCUGUUUACUGGAUGUGUUGAUGUGCCCUUAACAAGAAAAGGAGUAGAAUAAGCAAUUGAAGCUGGAAAGAGAAUCAGUACAAUGCCAUUUGACAUUGUGUACACGUCAGCAUUGGUUCGUUCUCAAAUGACAGCAAUGCUUGCCCUAACCCAACACUGCUGCCAGAAGGUAUUUCUAUUUUACCCUUCUACACUUUCUCAAAAUUACAUGAGCAAAUUAAGCAAAUGGAAGUUGCAGUUGAGAUGAUGGUGCUAAAGAAGAGAUUUACCAGGUGUAUUGUGUGUCUGAAAGAACAGAAGGCAAUCCCUCGCUAGGUGUAUUUUGCUAAAGAAGACCUUCUGCCCAAUUCAUUAUAUUUACUUGUGAUUCUUCUCGGUUAAUGAUAUC
rnacentral:lncRNA from 1 species